UGAUGUUACUGUGGCUAGACAACCCUAACUAACUUCUGUUCAUCUCGUCAUUGCUAUAAAUACCCCUUUAGCACAUACCAACCCAAGUAAAGGUAAAUAUCAAAUAAUAACUUUACCAAAUAAACUCAAACAAAAUAACAAAAAUACCUAACAUAAUACAAUCAUUUACCUAAAGUACUCGAAAAGAAAAUACUCAACCCAACAAAAAGAUUGAAUGACAUAACAAAAUAACAAAACACCAAAGAUCCCCUCUAACUCAAAACAUGAUGGUACAGUCCAACUUCCUCUGGCACAGCACAAAUUAGGAGAUUGAAGCACCGCCUCUCCCUUUGUCUGCUUCCACAUGGAAAACGGCCGUCACUCCAUGGACUCGAGCAAUCUAGGACUCAGCUCAGUGGCAUUAACCAGUGUGGAGGAACAGCAGUCCUUCACCAGUUUCUGCUUCUUCACUUAUCAAUACAGCUAAUACCAUCAUUACAAUAAAUAUCCAUCAAGAUCUGACUGUAGGUAUCAGGAAGUCUUGAGGCUUUAACUCAGUCUGUGUCUUUAACCGUCUGUCAUUAUUCAGUCAGUAUGGAGCUCAGUCAACUUCCUCUUGUGCUCUGUGAGUAUUAUUUCCUCCGCAUGCGUUUCAUGUCCAUUGCUCUUAUAUUAUGAAUAGGAUCGAGUGAUUUCGUGUUUUGGGAAUUUAUUUUCAUGCUGCUCUCAGUGUUUCAGAUCCAGCUCUAGUUGUGAAAGACGAGCUUGAGAGUUUAAGUGUGCAGUUAGAGCUGUUUGUGAAAGAGAAAUGAACUCUUUGGGGCGGUUUCCCGGACAGGGUUUAAUUUAAGCCAGGAUAGGCCUUAAUCUAGAAUAGUUAAUCGUGUCUUAAAAAAUGGCUUUCUGAAACACAG